CUGCUGCUCUUCUGUUCUGUUCAGACCCAGAGUACAACAUGAGAUCAAGAUGUGCCCAAAUGUCUGCGGCUGGGCUAGAAGUACCCCUGGAAAAUGAUCUGUAGAAUUAGAUGGAAUUAGAACGGGGAUUUUGUAAAACUUCUUAAGCUCAUAGACUGAAUUGAAAAGGGGAAAGGAACCUGUUUUUUUGAAUCCAGCUUUGACAUAACUCUGAAUAAUGGAAAUGGAACUGGACAAGACAUUUUGAAGAACUUUCUACAGUCCAAGCUUUGAGGAAUCUCACAGAACAGUUAAUGAAGGUUCCUGAUCUCCUUACACAUCGAGCAGUGGGAGCUGUACCCAAUCUGCCAGCUACAUGAGUGAACCCCAUCCCUCUGGCCUGGAGAGGUUUGGACAUAACGUCAUCCCUGCCUGGGGGCUUGCCCACAGGAAACUGGAGCAGCAUUUAUCCUCGAAGAGCUUCCUGUGGGAGUCAUUCCUCUUCUCAACUCACAUACCCCUGCUGCUAGGGCAGAGAAAUCCUCCGUCAGUCUCUCCAUGGAUGAGAUGUAGGCCAAUAAUGGGGCACAGAUAGUUUCUUCAUGUGUCUGGAGUCUGCCAAACCAGAAUGCCCACUUCUUCUUCUCCCUCCUUCCAUGC